rnacentral:tRNA from 1 species
GGGCCUAUAGCUCAGUUGGUUAGAGCAGGGGACUCAUAAUCCCUUGGUCGCAGGUUCU